AUUGAACGCUGGCGGCAGGCCUAACACAUGCAAGUCGAACGGUAACGCGGGGCAACCUGGCGACGAGUGGCGAACGGGUGAGUAAUGCAUCGGAACGUGCCCAGGAGUGGGGGAUAACUGCUCGAAAGAGCAGCUAAUACCGCAUACGCCCUGAGGGUGAAAGGGGGGGAUCGCAAGACCUCCCGCUAUUGGAGCGGCCGAUGUCAGAUUAGGUAGUAGGUGGGGUAAGGGCCCACCAAGCCAACGAUCUGUAGCUGGUCUGAGAGGACGACCAGCCACACUGGGACUGAGACACGGCCCAGACUCCUACGGGAGGCAGCAGUGGGGAAUUUUGGACAAUGGACGCAAGUCUGAUCCAGCCAUGCCGCGUGCGGGAAGAAGGCCUUCGGGUUGUAAACCGCUUUUGUCAGGGAAGAAACGCUCUGGGUUAAUACCUCGGGGUAAUGACGGUACCUGAAGAAUAAGCACCGGCUAACUACGUGCCAGCCGCCGCGGUAAUAC
rnacentral:rRNA from 1 species